rnacentral:rRNA from 1 species
GAUGAACGCUGGCGGCGUGCCUAAUACAUGCAAGUCGAGCGAACGGACGAGAAGCUUGCUUCUCUGAUGUUAGCGGCGGACGGGUGAGUAACACGUGGAUAACCUACCUAUAAGACUGGGAUAACUUCGGGAAACCGGAGCUAAUACCGGAUAAUAUUUUGAACCGCAUGGUUCAAAAGUGAAAGACGGUCUUGCUGUCACUUAUAGAUGGAUCCGCGCUGCAUUAGCUAGUUGGUAAGGUAACGGCUUACCAAGGCAACGAUGCAUAGCCGACCUGAGAGGGUGAUCGGCCACACUGGAACUGAGACACGGUCCAGACUCCUACGGGAGGCAGCAGUAGGGAAUCUUCCGCAAUGGGCGAAAGCCUGACGGAGCAACGCCGCGUGAGUGAUGAAGGUCUUCGGAUCGUAAAACUCUGUUAUUAGGGAAGAACAUAUGUGUAAGUAACUGUGCACAUCUUGACGGUACCUAAUCAGAAAGCCACGGCUAACUACGUGCCAGCAGCCGCGGUAAUACGUAGGUGGCAAGCGUUAUCCGGAAUUAUUGGGCGUAAAGCGCGCGUAGGCGGUUUUUUAAGUCUGAUGUGAAAGCCCACGGCUCAACCGUGGAGGGUCAUUGGAAACUGGAAAACUUGAGUGCAGAAGAGGAAAGUGGAAUUCCAUGUGUAGCGGUGAAAUGCGCAGAGAUAUGGAGGAACACCAGUAGCGAAGGCGACUUUCUGGUCUGUAACUGACGCUGAUGUGCGAAAGCGUGGGGAUCAAACAGGAUUAGAUACCCUGGUAGUCCACGCCGUAAACGAUGAGUGCUAAGUGUUAGGGGGUUUCCCCCCCUUAGUGCUGCAGCUAACGCAUUAAGCACUCCGCCUGGGGAGUACGACCGCAAGGUUGAAACUCAAAGGAAUUGACGGGGACCCGCACAAGCGGUGGAGCAUGUGGUUUAAUUCGAAGCAACGCGAAGAACCUUACCAAAUCUUGACAUCCUUUGACAACUCUAGAGAUAGAGCUUUCCCCUUCGGGGGACAAAGUGACAGGUGGUGCAUGGUUGUCGUCAGCUCGUGUCGUGAGAUGUUGGGUUAAGUCCCGCAACGAGCGCAACCCUUAAGCUUAGUUGCUAUCAUUAAGUUGGGCACUCUAAGUUGACUGCCGGUGACAAACCGGAGGAAGGUGGGGAUGACGUCAAAUCAUCAUGCCCCUUAUGAUUUGGGCUACACACGUGCUACAAUGGACAAUACAAAGGGCAGCGAAACCGUGAGGUCAAGCAAAUCCCAUAAAGUUGUUCUCAGUUCGGAUUGUAGUCUGCAACUCGACUACAUGAAGCUGGAAUCGCUAGUAAUCGUAGAUCAGCAUGCUACGGUGAAUACGUUCCCGGGUCU